UACCUGGUUGAUCCUGCCAGUAGCAU
rnacentral:piRNA from 9 species